AGAAAUGGUGGGGAAGCAAUCCCCUCCAAAAAACAAUAGAUCAGAAAAGAAACAGAAAGCAAGAGGGAGAAAAGGGGGAACAAGAAGAGGGAGAGAAGGAGUGAGAGUGGAAGAGAGGGAGAGGGAGAUCUGGCUGCAGUUGAAACAGGCUUCAAAGGAAUAUUAAUGUGAUCCUGUACAGGAGCUGAAGACAGGGGAAGCGAAGAGGGAAGAGGGAGGGAGGAUGGAGGCGGAAGAAUGAGAGGGGAGGGGAAAAAGAAGAAUUCAUGAGGCUGCUCCCUCCCACCUCCAAAGCUCCGCCCAUGCACCUUUCUCCAGGUCAAUCAAACUGAGACUCUGGAGUUACCCUGCUAGACAAAGCUUGUCCUCAAGCUGUCUCACCACCACCCAUGAUGUGUUUCGAUGUUUUGCAACUGUACAACUGACGGAAUUCCACUCACCCCCAUUGCGGCGGAGGUAGAAAUCUCAGAAACAGAUUUCUCAAAACCUGAGCAAAUAAAACCAAAACUGUCUGCAUGGCUGCAUAUAAUUAAAGGUAAUUAAGAAAAUAUGUUUUUGUGUAAUUUGUGUGAACUAAGCCUUUAGUUUUGACAGGGUUGUAGAAUUCUGCAGCUCAGGA